rnacentral:rRNA from 1 species
AUUGAACGCUGGCGGCAUGCCUUACACAUGCAAGUCGAACGGUAACGGGCCUUCGGGUGCCGACGAGUGGCGAACGGGUGAGUAAUACAUCGGAACGUGCCCGAUCGUGGGGGAUAACGAGGCGAAAGCUUUGCUAAUACCGCAUACGAUCUACGGAUGAAAGCAGGGGACCGCAAGGCCUUGCGCGGACGGAGCGGCCGAUGGCAGAUUAGGUAGUUGGUGGGAUAAAAGCUUACCAAGCCGACGAUCUGUAGCUGGUCUGAGGGGAUGAUCAGCCACACUGGGACUGAGACACGGCCCAGACUCCUACGGGAGGCAGCAGUGGGGAAUUUUGGACAAUGGGCGCAAGCCUGAUCCAGCCAUGCCGCGUGCAGGAUGAAGGCCUUCGGGUUGUAAACUGCUUUUGUACGGAACGAGAAGCCUUCUUUUAAUACAGGAGGGUCAUGACGGUACCGUAAGAAUAAGCACCGGCUAACUACGUG